rnacentral:pre_miRNA from 13 species
GCUCUCUGCUGUGGCCUAUGGCUUUUUAUUCCUAUGUGAUUGCUGCUUUGAACUCAUGUAGGGCUGAAAGCCAUGGGCUACAGAGAGGGGA